GAACCCCAAGGAGCAUGAGGACAUCCUGAACAGAGGCCACCUCAGGGGAGCUGAAGGAGCAGGAGAGCAGCCCUGGUACACCCUGCCCAGGCUCACCUCCUCCUGCAGAACUAAGCCAGGGCUGAGAAGUUCCUUGAAAGAGGCUGCUGUUUGGAAGGCUUGCACAUUUCUGAAGGCUGCCAAGAGAGUGUGCGGCUUAAACCAGAGUGAGGACCCAUGCUUCCUUGAGGUGGAGCCCAGGCACUUGGGCAAACAGCUGAUAGGAGUUCAUUUUGUGAAGCUGUGACGAGUUUUCCAGUAGACCAUGAGCUUGCUGAUGGCAGGAGCCUGCCUGUCCUUGAUCCUUGUUUCUGUGGGGUCUGUCCCAGUGCCUGGCACAGUGGCUUUGGAGAUGGAAGGAAUAGAGGGAGGCUUGAGUAAAAGCCACAUAGGCCACUCCAUGCUCUUUCUGUUUUUGGUAUUUGGGGCAGACCAGGAUGGCAUCCUACGAGAUAAUGGAGUCUCAAUAUGGAAGGAGGUUGGAUCCCUGAAUUGCUGCAUGGAAGAGAGCUGCCUACCACCCUGAACAUCUACUUUGGAUUACUACAGUAGUAAGAAAUAAAAUUACAUUGUGUUGGGCUAUUAUACAUUGGUUGGCUGUAUUCAAUAUGGCAGUUUAGCAUAUACUAAGGAAUAUAAUUUAUUUAUUAAAUGCAACAUACGGAUAUUUUGCCCUCCUGAAGUCCCAUAUCUACUGGAGAAUAAUAUUACACAUGAACACAUACAACAAGAUAAAUAUAAGUAUAUUCUCUUAGUCUCUAGUAAAGUUAUUUGUCCCUAGAAACUCAUCUUUGUUUUUUUAAAAGAAUAUAAAAAAGUGAAUGCUUGAAAGGCCUGCUAGGGCCAGAGGUUGGCUUUCCAGGGCUUUUGGUUCUGUGGCCCUGCC
ensembl:lincRNA